GSRMUGUAUAAGCUGUUUCAUUGGYUGUACAACGACGGCCWGUGGAUCCCKAWUCAUGGUCGSUCUGUUCCCAAUGCGUGCUUAAAGUUUGRUCGUGGCUGWKAACAAACGCUGGCGGCKUGCUUAACACWUGCRAGUCRAACGUGAUUGAGAGCUUGCUCUCRUGAAAGUGGCGCACGGGUGAGUAACACGUGGAUAAUCUGCCUGGCGAUUCGGGAUAACACUUCGAAAGGGGUGCUAAUACCGGAUAAGCCCACGGUCUCUUCGGAGAGCGCGGGAAAAGGGGGCCUCUGUAUAUGCUCCUGUCGCUAGAUGAGUCCGCGGCCCAUUASCUAGUUGGUAGGGUAAUGGCCUACCAAGGCUACSAUGGGUAGCUGGUCUGASAGGAUGAUCAKCCACACUGGAACUGARACRCGGUCCAKACUCCUACGGGAGGCAGCAGUGGGGAAUUUUGCGCAAUGGGCGAAAGCCUGACSCARCAACSCCSCGUGAGUGAUGAAGGCCUUCGGGUCGUAAAGCUCUGUCAGAGGGGAAGAACCGCCGGGUGGCUAAUACCUGCCUGGUCUGACGGUACCCUCAAAGGAAGCACCGGCUAACUCCGUGCCAGCAGCCGCGGUAAUAC
rnacentral:rRNA from 1 species